rnacentral:rRNA from 1 species
GACGAACGCUGGCGGCGUGCUUAACACAUGCAAGUCGAACGGAAAGGCCCUGCUUUUGUGGGGUGCUCGAGUGGCGAACGGGUGAGUAACACGUGAGUAACCUGCCCUUGACUUUGGGAUAACUUCAGGAAACUGAGGCUAAUACCGGAUAGGAGCUCCUGCUGCAUGGUGGGGGUUGGAAAGUUUCGGCGGUUGGGGAUGGACUCGCGGCUUAUCAGCUUGUUGGUGGGGUAGUGGCUUACCAGGGCUUUGACGGGUAGCCGGCCUGAGAGGGUGACCGGCCACAUUGGGACUGAGAUACGGCCCAGACUCCUACGGGAGGCAGCAGUGGGGAAUAUUGCACAAUGGGCGGAAGCCUGAUGCAGCAACGCCGCGUGCGGGAUGACGGCCUUCGGGUUGUAAACCGCUUUCGCCUGUGACGAAGCGUGAGUGACGGUAAUGGGUAAAGAAGCACCGGCUAACUACGUG